AAGCCAAGAGAAAAGGCCAAAGUGCCAAAGAAAGAUGUGCAUGUAAAGAAAACUGAACCACACAAGAAAG